rnacentral:rRNA from 1 species
UAUCACGGGAGACACACGGCGGGUGCUAACGUCCGUCGUGAAGAGGGAAACAACCCAGACCGCCAGCUAAGGUCCCAAAGUCAUGGUUAAGUGGGAAACGAUGUGGGAAGGCCCAGACAGCCAGGAUGUUGGCUUAGAAGCAGCCAUCAUUUAAAGAAAGCGUAAUAGCUCACUGGUCGAGUCGGCCUGCGCGGAAGAUGUAACGGGGCUAAACCAUGCACCGAAGCUGCGGCAGCGACACUAUGUGUUGUUGGGUAGGGGAGCGUUCUGUAAGCCUGUGAAGGUGUACUGUGAGGUAUGCUGGAGGUAUCAGAAGUGCGAAUGCUGACAUAAGUAACGAUAAAGCGGGUGAAAAGCCCGCUCGCCGGAAGACCAAGGGUUCCUGUCCAACGUUAAUCGGGGCAGGGUGAGUCGACCCCUAAGGCGAGGCCGAAAGGCGUAGUCGAUGGGAAACAGGUUAAUAUUCCUGUACUUGGUGUUACUGCGAAGGGGGGACGGAGAAGGCUAUGUUGGCCGGGCGACGGUUGUCCCGGUUUAAGCGUGUAGGCUGGUUUUCCAGGCAAAUCCGGAAAAUCAAGGCUGAGGCGUGAUGACGAGGCACUACGGUGCUGAAGCAACAAAUGCCCUGCUUCCAGGAAAAGCCUCUAAGCAUCAGGUAACAUCAAAUCGUACCCCAAACCGACACAGGUGGUCAGGUAGAGAAUACCAAGGCGCUUGAGAGAACUCGGGUGAAGGAACUAGGCAAAAUGGUGCCGUAACUUCGGGAGAAGGCACGCUGAUAUGUAGGUGAAGCGACUUGCUCGUGGAGCUGAAAUCAGUCGAAGAUACCAGCUGGCUGCAACUGUUUAUUAAAAACACAGCACUGUGCAAACACGAAAGUGGACGUAUACGGUGUGACGCCUGCCCGGUGCCGGAAGGUUAAUUGAUGGGGUUAGCGCAAGCGAAGCUCUUGAUCGAAGCCCCGGUAAACGGCGGCCGUAACUAUAACGGUCCUAAGGUAGCGAAAUUCCUUGUCGGGUAAGUUCCGACCUGCACGAAUGGCGUAAUGAUGGCCAGGCUGUCUCCACCCGAGACUCAGUGAAAUUGAACUCGCUGUGAAGAUGCAGUGUACCCGCGGCAAGACGGAAAGACCCCGUGAACCUUUACUAUAGCUUGACACUGAACAUUGAGCCUUGAUGUGUAGGAUAGGUGGGAGGCUUUGAAGUGUGGACGCCAGUCUGCAUGGAGCCGACCUUGAAAUACCACCCUUUAAUGUUUGAUGUUCUAACGUGGACCCGUAAUCCGGGUUGCGGACAGUGUCUGGUGGGUAGUUUGACUGGGGCGGUCUCCUCCUAAAGAGUAACGGAGGAGCACGAAGGUUGGCUAAUCCUGGUCGGACAUCAGGAGGUUAGUGCAAUGGCAUAAGCCAGCUUGACUGCGAGCGUGACGGCGCGAGCAGGUGCGAAAGCAGGUCAUAGUGAUCCGGUGGUUCUGAAUGGAAGGGCCAUCGCUCAACGGAUAAAAGGUACUCCGGGGAUAACAGGCUGAUACCGCCCAAGAGUUCAUAUCGACGGCGGUGUUUGGCACCUCGAUGUCGGCUCAUCACAUCCUGGGGCUGAAGUAGGUCCCAAGGGUAUGGCUGUUCGCCAUUUAAAGUGGUACGCGAGCUGGGUUUAGAACGUCGUGAGACAGUUCGGUCCCUAUCUGCCGUGGGCGCUGGAGAAUUGAGGGGGGCUGCUCCUAGUACGAGAGGACCGGAGUGGACGCAUCACUGGUGUUCGGGUUGUCAUGCCAAUGGCACUGCCCGGUAGCUAAAUGCGGAAGAGAUAAGUGCUGAAAGCAUCUAAGCACGAAACUUGCCCCGAGAUGAGUUCUCCCUGACUCCUUGAGAGUCCUGAAGGAACGUUGAAGACGACGACGUUGAUAGGCCGGGUGUGUAAGCGCAGCGAUGCGUUGAGCUAACCGGUACUAAUGAACCGUGAGGCUUAACCUUACAACGCCGAAGGUGUUU